rnacentral:tRNA from 1 species
GGGAAGGUGGCUCAGUGGUAGAGCGCUUGCCUUGCAUGCAUGAGGCCCUGGGUUUGA